AUGAAGGAAUUCAUAGCUGAGAUAACCAUCCUAGGCCAUCUCCGGCAUCGCAACCUUGUGCAGUUGCUCGGUUAUUCUCGCCACAAGAGCGAGCUCCUUCUGGUUUACGAUUACAUGCCAAAUGGCAGUCUUGAUAGAGUUUUGCAUAGUCAAGAUAAGCAGACUGUAGGCUGGGUUCAGAGAUUCAACAUUAUAAAAGGCAUUGCAUCUGGUCUUUGCUACCUCCACGAGGAUUGGGAGAAGGUGGUCAUCCAUCGAGACAUCAAAGCAAGCAACGUGCUCCUCGACAAUGAAAUGAACGGUAGACUGGGUGAUUUUGGUCUGGCAAGAUUACACAACCAUGGUACAGACGCCCACACCACGCAUUUGGCUGGCACCUGGGGGUACAUUGCUCCUGAGCUAGCUAGGCUAGGAAGGGCAACCAAGGCAACUGAUGUCUUUGCAUUCGGUGUCUUCAUGUUGGAGGUUGCUUGUGGGAGGCGUCCAAUACAGGUGAAUGAUUCUGAUGGUGACCCAGUGCUGCUCACAGACUGGGUGGUCGAUGCAUGGGAGAGCGGUUCGAUCCUCAGAACGGUAGACCCAAAAUUAGAAGAUUAUGUCAGGGAGGAAGCAGAGUUAGUGCUAAAGCUUGGCUUGCUCUGCUCACACCCGGUACAGAGUGCUAGGCCAUGCAUGCGCCUAGUUAUGCAGUACCUUGUAAGGGAUGUGCUACUCCCGGAUUUCCAACCAUGUUUUUUGAACCUUACUAGCAGGGAUGAAGAAUUUGGGCAGCAUAUCCUGUCAUGCCCAUCUGUGGCGACGACCAUAACAGGACUUUCUGGAGGAAGAUAA
rnacentral:rRNA from 1 species